CGAAGAACCUUACCUGGUCUUGACAUCCCGGAGACCCUUAGGAAACUAGGGGGUGCUUCCAUCUGGAAGAAUCUGGAGACAGGUGCUGCAUGGCUGUCGUCAGCUCGUGUCGUGAGAUGUUGGGUUAAGGUCCCGCAACGAGCGCAACCCUUGCCUUUAGUUGCCAGCAGUUCGGCUGGGCACUCUAAAGGGACUGCCGGUGUUAAACCGGAGGAAGGUGGGGAUGACGUCAAGUCCUCAUGGCCUUUAUGACCAGGGCUACACACGUACUACAAUGGCCGAUACAAAGGGCAGCGACACUGCGAGGUGAAGCCAAUCCCGUAAAAUCGGUCUCAGUCCGGAUUGGAGUCUGCAACUCGACUCCAUGAAGUUGGAAUCGCUAGUAAUCGUGGAUCAGCAUGCCACGGUGAAUACGUUCCCGGGCCUU
rnacentral:rRNA from 1 species